rnacentral:rRNA from 1 species
UACGGAGGGGGCGAGCGUUUAUUCGGAAUUAUUGGGCGUAAAGGGCGCGUAGGCGGCCCGGUAAGUCAAAGGUGAAAUCCCUCGGCUCAACUGAGGAACUGCCUUUGAAACUGUCGGGCUUGAGGCCGGGAGGGGGUAGCGGAAUUCCCAGUGUAGCGGUGAAAUGCGUAGAUACUGGGAGGAACACCAAUUGCGAAGGCAGCUCGCUGGAACGUAACUGACGCUGAGACGCGAAAGCGUGGGGAGCAAACAGG